ACUCUCGGAAGCGUCUCUGACAGCGGACGGAUUUUCUCCUCGCGCGAAGAAAAAUGUGUUUUGACAGGUUGGGCGGGGCCAAAGCCCUCUUCUGUAAGUCUCCUCCUGAUUGGGCAGACACGAUCACACGGGAAGUACUGUCUGGAAUUUUCUGACUGAAAAGUUACAUCUGGAGGCGGGAAAGUGACGGAGGCUUCUUAGUUUGGACUACGUCGGUAUUGACAUUCACCCCUCAACAAUAAGCAAUGGAUAGCGAUACGUCAGCAACAUUUGAGGAUUUGCAUGGCAUUCUCAGACAUGAAAUUUUCUCCAGGCUGAUUUCCAAACUGGAAUUGGCACUCAUAAGAACACCUCUGGACUUAGACUUUCUAGAAUUCACAUGUCGACAAGAGCUUUACCUGUUUGAAGCACUGUCAAGGCAUGUUAGUAUCCCUGUUAUAAUUGUACAGGCCUUUGAGGACUUUUUUAGGCUGGUGAUGCGGCAUAGUACAGAUACUGCCAGUAGCGCUGUUGAAACUGUUGCUGGGGUGAUAGGACGUCCCAGGUAUGAUAUAGAUCAAGAAAAACUGUCUGAACUUUUGGAAAUAAAUCUACCUGUGGCCUGCAUCGCAACAUUACUUGGUGUUUCAACCAGUACAAUAAACAGAAGGAUGAGGGAAUUUGGUGUCUCUGUCAGACAGACGUACAGCACUAUUACAGAUGAAGAGCUUGAUAACGCAGUCAUAAACAUCAAAAAUGAAAUGCCAACUUUUGGAUAUCGGAUGGUAAAAGGGAGGCUGAGGGCUUUAGGAAUCCACGUCCCAUGGCGGAGAAUGACUGCAUCGAUGCAUAGAGUUGACUCAUUGGGAAUUCUUUCGAGGCUGACAGGACUGGGCUGCAUUGUGCGAAUAACUUACUCUGUAAAGGGACCUCUUUCACUUUGGCAUGUGGACACUAAUCACAAAUUGAUCAGGUACAACAUUGUUCUCUUUGGUGCAGUGGAAGGCUACUCCAGGAAGGUAAACAUUAAAGAGUCUGGCAUUUUGCUUUUAGGUGCAUGUUCACUAGGUGCAUUUUUGGCAUGAAAGUUUACUGAUAAGAUGACAUCCGUUAUAAAAUCUUUUACAGAUUACAUUUUCAGUCCGAACAAUACUGUCUGAUCAGCUGCUAGUCUUCAAACAAAACAGACAAACUGACCUUCUGCUUCUAUAACAUCUGCACACAUCUCUUUGGCCUUUGUUCAUCCUCUACAGACAGCCCCAUACCACUUUGCAAGACAAGGCAAAUUUAUUCGUAUAGCACAUUUCAGUACAAGGACAACUCAAAGUGCUUU